rnacentral:rRNA from 1 species
GGGGGGGGGGGGGGGGGGGGGGGGGGGGGGGGGGGCGGGCGGGGGGGCCGUGGGGGGGGGGGGUGCUGGGGGGGCGACCGGGUGCGUAAGGCGGUGGUGACCUGCCCUUGAGUUUGGUGUCACUUCAGUUAACGGGGGCUAAUACCGGCGAGGAGCUCCGUCUUCUGGGUUGGGGUUGGCCAGUUUCGGCGGUUUGGGACGGACUCGCGGCUGAUGAGCUUGGUGGUGGGGGAGUGGCUUACCCAGGCUUGGACGGGUCGCCGGCCUGCGAUGGUCACCGGGCACAUUGGGACUGAGAUACGGACCAGACUGCUACGGGAGGCAGCAGGGGGGAAUAUUGCACAAUGGGCGGAAGCCUGAUGCAGCAACGCCGCGUGCGGGAUGACGGCCUUCGGGUUGUAAACCGCUUUCGCCUGUGACGAAGCGUGAGUGACGGUAAUGGGUAAAGAAGCACCGGCUAACUACGUG